CGGAGCGGAAAAAAAACGAAGAAGAAGAAGAAAUCUGAACACAGAAGAAGAGGAUUUCCGAUUUUGUUGCAGGAAAUCGCAGCACAGAAAUGGCGUUCUCUCUUCUUUUGUUUCUGAGUUUGAUUUUCUGUGUUAUUGUGAUGCUAAGCCCCUACUUGGCUUCCGCGGCGGCGGCGGCGAGCGGGGACAGCGAAUUGGUGAGCUGGAUGAUGCCGGCGGGAGGUGCAGGGGCAUGGUGGAGUGCCUGUCGGAGGCGGAGGAGCUGAAGAUGGAGAACAAAUCGAGCCGGCGCAUAUUAGCCACCACGUGGUACAUCAGCUACGGUGAGAUCUCUAUCUAUCUUGUUGGCCGAAUGCUUUCACCUGAUAUCAUCAAGACUUUAAUGGGCGAUGACUUCGCUGCAGACUUCUCAAAGGUUUGCAUUCGCGAACAAGACAAUGAAAUGUCAAGAAAGUUAAUGGGCUUGCUUAGGAAGUACCAUCAAAGUGAUCAAUCAUAUUAUCAAAUUAUGUCACCUUGUGAGGCAAGGUGAACAACCCAGAGAAGGGCGUUUUUAUCUGCCUUUUUCAAUUGGCAAUCAUCACAGAGUCAGGUGUUUCGUCCAGUUAUGGUCCUUGAUCCUUCGCUGAAAAAGAAGUGAAAGUGGGAGUCAAUGAUGCACUCGGGAUCAAAGCCGUGAGGUUCUGCGUCUGUCUGGAUGGAAGGAAUAUUAGGUAGACGCUAUACACUUGCUUUGAUGCCUGGAGAACAAACAAGAGUCAAGAAGGGAAAGGGGGGCAAAAGAAAAGUAAAAUGACCAUCUUUGCCUUUCAUAAUUCUGUGUUUAAAAAUGUUGAGUUAUAUCUU